UGUGAAAGAACAGUUUCUCUAUGUCCUUC
rnacentral:piRNA from 1 species